CAGUCGCCACGGUAAAACGUAGGGUGCAAGCGUUAAUCGGAAUUACUGGGCGUAAAGCGUGCGCAGGCGGUUAUAUAAGACAGAUGUGAAAUCCCCGGGCUCAACCUGGGAACUGCAUUUGUGACUGUAUAGCUAGAGUACGGCAGAGGGGGAUGGAAUUCCGCGUGUAGCAGUGAAAUGCGUAGAUAUGCGGAGGAACACCGAUGGCGAAGGCAAUCCCCUGGGCCUGUACUGACGCUCAUGCACGAAAGCGUGGGGAGCAAACAGGAUUAGAUACCCGAGUAGUCCCUGUCUCUUAUAU
rnacentral:rRNA from 1 species